GUGUCAGCAGCCGCGGUAAUACGUAGGGGGCGAGCGUUGUCCGGAUUUAUUGGGCGUAAAGAGCGUGUAGGCGGCUUGGUAGGUCUGCUGUGAAAACUCGGGGCUCAACCCCGAGACGUCGGUGGAAACCACCUGGCUAGAGUCCGGAAGAGGAGAGUGGAAUUCCUGGUGUAGCGGUGAAAUGCGCAGAUAUCAGGAAGAAUAUCCGUGGCGAAGGCGGCUCUCUGGUACGGCACUGACGCUGAGACGCGAAAGCGUGGGGAGCGAACAGGAUUAGAUACCCUGGUAGUCCACGCCGUAAACGAUGGGUGCUAGGUGUGGGUGGUGUCGACUCCAUCCGUGCCGUAGCUAACGCAUUAAGCACCCCGCCUGGGGAGUACGGCCGCAAGGCUAAA
rnacentral:rRNA from 1 species